rnacentral:miRNA from 10 species
UUAGGUUGGUGCAAAAGUGAUUGUGGUUUUUGCCAUUCCUUGCAGAAAAAAACUGCAAUUAUUUUUGCACCAACCUAAUAAA